UACGGAGGGAGCUAGCGUUGUUCGGAAUUACUGGGCGUAAAGCGCACGUAGGCGGCUUUGUAAGUUAGAGGUGAAAGCCCGGGGCUCAACCCCGGAAUUGCCUUUAAGACUGCAUCGCUUGAAUCCGGGAGAGGUGAGUGGAAUUCCGAGUGUAGAGGUGAAAUUCGUAGAUAUUCGGAGGAACACCAGUGGCGAAGGCGGCUCACUGGUCCGGUACUGACGCUGAGGUGCGAAAGCGUGGGGAGCAAACAGG
rnacentral:rRNA from 1 species